GACGAACGCUGGCGGCGUGCUUAACACAUGCAAGUCGAGCGGAAAGGCCCUUUCGGGGGUACUCGAGCGGCGAACGGGUGAGCAACACGUGAGUAAUCUGCCCUUGGCUUUGGGAUAACCACCGGAAACGGUGGCUAAUACCGGGUAUGACGGGCUCCGGCAUCGGGGUUCGUGGAAAGUUUUUCGGCCAGGGAUGUGCUCGCGGCCUAUCAGCUUGUUGGUGGGGUAAUGGCCUACCAAGGCUUCGACGGGUAGCCGGCCUGAGAGGGUGACCGGCCACACUGGGACUGAGACACGGCCCAGACUCCUACGGGAGGCAGCAGUGGGGAAUAUUGGACAAUGGGCGGAAGCCUGAUCCAGCAACGCCGCGUGAGGGAUGACGGCC
rnacentral:rRNA from 1 species